ACUUCACAUCGAUGGCGAAUUCAAGGUUUUCUAAGGGCGAUCGAACUGUAAAAUGCUACGAGAGAGUCCAAAUCCUUUUGACCUCCUCCCCGUGCGAGAAAAGGAGGCGCGGGCGGUUUAUUCACCCUUAUUUCGUGAGUUGUCGCAGAUAAUCGGAGAGGUUCGGGAGGCUGCGUCAUAGAGCGCGCGCGCGAACCCGGGCGCUUCGUCAUUGCGACGGAGGUUGUCGUGUGUCGGCACUGGUCCGUGCAAGCGCUCGCUCCGUACCGCACCGCCGCGCCUCGUUUCCGUGCGACCGUCGUCCCGCGAGACGUGAGUCGCGACCUCGGUCCACUGUCCGUCCGCGCCCGGCAGGGGUCUCUGGCUUGUAUACCGGUCAUCUUCAACGAGUCCGCGCCGACCAGCACCGUCAGAACUUAGGUACCGGUGCGGGUAUCCGCGCAGUGCAUGUGCUCGUGUAGUCCUUAGCUCUGUGACCACGCUCCCCGGGACCGACGAUUGUGGCGCGAUGUAAAGAAGCCGCGACCGCGAAUCAUGUGCGCAAGACGGUGAGCGGGAGUUGGCGGGGGAGAUGUCAGCGCCGGUGGCGGCCAGCUGAUAGCAUGCGGGCGGCGCGCGCGCCCGCCCCGACCUAGCCGGACACACCACGACCGCCACGUUCACGGGUGCGCUGGAGGAGGGCGCGCUGGGCGGCGGCGGCGGCGGCGGCGCGCUCGGCGCGCUGCGUGCGGCCGGCUCGCCGCCCGCGCACUGCCUCGGUGCCAGCCGGCACAGUC